rnacentral:rRNA from 1 species
GUAAUCGGAAUUACUGGGCGUAAAGCGCAUGCAGGUGGUUUGUUAAGUCAGAUGUGAAAGCCCGGGGCUCAACCUCGGAAUUGCAUUUGAAACUGGCAAACUAGAGUACUGUAGAGGGGGUAGAAUUUCAGGUGUAGCGGUGAAAUGCGUAGAGAUCUGAAGGAAUACCGGUGGCGAAGGCGGCCCCCUGGACAGAUACUGACACUCAGAUGCGAAAGCGUGGGGAGCAAACAGGAUUAGAUACCCUGGUAG